AUCUUUAGCUCAGUUGGUUAGAGCAUCCGGCUCAUAACCGGGCGGUCGUAGGUUCGAGUCC
rnacentral:tRNA from 1 species